AGCGAACGCUGGCGGCAGGCCUAACACAUGCAAGUCGAACGAACCUUUCGGGGUUAGUGGCGGACGGGUGAGUAACACGUGGGAACGUGCCUUUAGGUUCGGAAUAACUCAGGGAAACUUGUGCUAAUACCGAAUGUGCCCUUCGGGGGAAAGAUUUAUCGCCUUUAGAGCGGCCCGCGUCUGAUUAGCUAGUUGGUUGAGGUAAUGGCUCACCAAGGCGACGAUCAGUAGCUGGUCUGAGAGGAUGAUCAGCCACGUUGGGACUGAGACACGGCCCAAACUCCUACGGGAGGCAGCAGUGGGGAAUCUUGCGCAAUGGGCGAAAGCCUGACGCAGCCAUGCCGCGUGAAUGAUGAAGGUCUUAGGAUUGUAAAAUUCUUUCACCGGGGACGAUAAUGACGGUACCCGGAGAAGAAGCCCCGGCUAACUUCGU
rnacentral:rRNA from 1 species